UCCUAAACCCUGCUCUGUCAGGCUGCUGGGAGCUGUGUGUGUUGUCUCAUCUUAUCAUCACCGCCACCCAAAAGGUGGCUUAUCCUCCGGCCAGAGACCCAGCAAGAUCACCUCGGGAUCCAAAGGCAGCAAGGAUUGAAAUGCAGGCUCCACGGAUUACAGCUUUGGACGCAUCCCACACCGUCUCUAUGGGCACUCCGCA